GGUGCCCAGAUCUGCUGGCUCUGGGAUGAGCCCCACUUUGCUUCCGUAUCCCCCUAUCCAACCAGGCUCCUCCUAGAGCCUGUCUUCUGUGGGUGACCACCUCCCCCUGCCAGCCCUCCUACGGGCCUCCUUCCAACCUCAGAACGCCCACACACACAUCCGUGGUGGGCUGAGGACCCUGGUCAGGCCUUUCUCCCCUCCCCCCUACCUGGCCCCUUGCUCACUCCUGGAGCCAUUUGGCUGAUGGUCAGAACUGUCCGUCAAGGGGACUCUGAGCCCCUGGGGACCCAGAUGGGAGGAGGGAGGGGGAGAGGUCGGGGGUCAGGCCUCGUCCCCUCAGCUGGUCUCUUUCCCCUCCCCCUUCCUAACAAAGGGAGCAUUGGCCUGAUGCUGGCGGGAUGGCCUGGUACUUAGGGAAGCGGGGAGGAGAGGGGCUGUGGGGAUGGCCAUGGGCAGGAGGUGGGGGUGGGGGCCGCCUGCCCCUCCUCUGCCCUCCCCCUCGGGUCAAGGCUAAGGUGAUUCCUCAACCUCUCGGAGGCUGGGUUGGGAGGAGAAGGGGAUCUGGACAGACAAAGAACAAGAGCCCUGGGGAGCUGGGGGCUGGGGGGAUGCACCUGGGACCCAGGCAGUCCUGGCUGAGGGAGGGGCAGCAGGCACCCCUCUGGCCCUGCUCUCACCCUCUGGAUGGCCCUGCCCCCUAUCUGCACCAAUCCCUAUGGAUCCCAGAGCCAUACAGACCUUCCAGCUUGGGCAGGGUUGGAUGGGAGUGGGGGGAAAUUGAGGCCCAGAGAGGGGAGACAGCCCAGGCCCAGGGUUCUCAACACUGUCCCAGAGACUCUCCCCUCACUUCUCUUCCCACUAAGGGAAGGCUUCUUCCUUUCCUGCCUUCCCCACCCAGGUCAGGGGAGGUUUAGUGGGGGCAGAUGGUAGAAGGUUCUAUGGAGAGGGAAGAGGAGGCUGAGAAAAAAAGUGAGGCUAAGUGUUCUCCUCACUUAGACCAGUGGGGAGGGGAGGCAGCCAGAAGAAAAAGAGUUUAAAUGUGACCUCUAACACUGGCCUGGCACAGCUGUGGGAAGAAACUUAACAUCUGUUGGAAAGGGCAGGAAACCAACAUAGACAGGGUGCUCCUGAGUACCUGGCUAGCAGUGGCUGGGGAAGAGGACUUCAGACAGUUUUCCCCUUUUGCCCAUGGCCACAGUGAAGGAGGAGGAUUCACACUCUGGUCAGUCACAAGCCACCCAUGACAUUUCAUUAGAGCCUCCCACCUACCCAGUCUGACCAUAGGGGACAAAAGGUAGCUGAGGCAAUGAACAGCCAUGAACCCCCAUGCCCACAGGGAUAAGGAGCCUCCAAAGAAACAGAAAGAAACGGGCAGAUCUUUUAUGCUUUAAAUUCUCCUAUGAAGGCUGAGGUGGCUCUUAGAGAGAGGGCCACAGCCAAGAAGAGGGGGAGGAUAAGGCAGGCCUCUUUUGCGGGGGUGGGAUAGGCUCACACAUGACCCCACAGCCUACCAAGGAGGACCCAGAUGGGCAGAGGACUAUAGGGGUCCUGGCUGCCCUCCCCCAAACCUCCCCUCCCUUCUCUCCCUCUCUCUUUCUCAGCUGGCUAUCGACCGAGGCUGUGACAUGGUGGAUCAAUACGGCAGGGAUAUAAAGCCGGCUGGCUGGCUGCCUGCCUCUGCCUCUCUCUCUCUCUCCCUUGCUUGCCUUGCUUCCUUUUCCAGGAGCCGCACCCAGGUCCCCCACCGUAAUGUACCCCUUACCCAGGCCUCUGAGAGGCCAGGCACCCCCUACCACUUCCCUACAGCGGGAGAGCUUAGGGAGGCUGAGAGCUUGGACAGCCAGGAGAGGGGGCCUGAUCUCUGGAUCUCCCUGAUCUGCAGAUCUCAGUGUGGCUCUCUCUGGAGACAAAAGCUAAGACUCAACCCACAGGCAACACUAAAUACACAGCUCCAGCUCAGAGAAAAAGGAGGUGACCAGGGAGGAAUGGAGAGGCCAAGACACAUAAUGAAGACCAGGAAAAGGAAGAAAGAUGAUGCUGCGGCUGGAGCCAAAAGGAGAGGAAGAGGAAAGAAAGGAAAGCCAGGAGCGGAGACCCAGCAGGGCAUUGUGAGCACAACAACCGUGGGGUGGGAGUGGGGCGGGCAUCGAGAUUUCUAAUAAGUGCAGCUGAAAACAUCCAGGGUCAUUCUCUGAGGCCUUCUCUCUGCCUACCAGUCCUCACCAGUGCUUCGAAGAGCCCUGCGGAAUGUCUCUCUAUUUGAAGUCAGAGCCAAGUGCCUGCUCUUGGCACCUGGGGCUCCAUGCCUACUAGGAUGGUUGGCACUUGACCUUCAUUUGCUAUGGGACUGUCAGGGAUUCCAGGGACCCACUGGUCCUCAAACUAGCUCAGAGUUCAAGCCAUUUUUACCUCCUACACAUCUGUAAUUCCCACCCCAUGGCUGACAAAUAUUCCCAGUCCACAGCUAUCUCCACCCACCCAGUGACAGAGCACAGGCAGCCAAAAGGAUCAAGCAAUCUCUUGCCACCUCCCAGCAACCCAUAAUGGUGAACAGCCCCUCAAAUCUGGACUCCACAUUCAGCGAGGAGUGGCCCUGCCCACCGCCCAGAUCACACAGCUGCAAUUUACAGACCACCCUAUGGGUCCCACCCCACAGCCAUAGCCCACCAGUAUCCAAGGGCUGCCUCUACACUGAAGCUCCGUCCCAGCCCAGCCCAUCUUUCAAGCCACAUAUGGAACAGCACACACCCUAUUCCUCUAGCCAAAGCCCUCCAGGUGCAAUUCAGAAGGAAGUAGACUAGGCCUGGGGCAUGUGGACAAGUCCCUGAUGCCACCCCCUGGCUUCUCCAGCUUGUCUGUGGAACCUGACUGCCCUGAAGGGCCAAACCUCUGAUCCCAGGUCAGCCCUCCAUCACACCUAUACUCUUGCCUGUGAGAGAACGUCCCCAUGUGCGGCUAAACAUCCUCCUUAUGCAGCCCUGGGUUCUGUUCCUUCCAUGUCACCUCACAGACCCAGGAUGGAAGCCUUUCACCUAGACUGAAGCUUCUGCUUCUGAAGCAUUCAGGACUCUCUCGGAGUGUGUGAGCACCCUGGGGCACAUCCCUGCUGCUUAUGUCUGAGUUACCUCUGAGUUCCCAGGACCACUCCACAUCGAAGGCCAUUGUGUCUUUUUGCGGAAAGAUGGAAGGACAGAGGGGAAAGAAAGACAAAGUGGUACCAUGGCCCUGCUCCUGCCCUGGCACUUGGAAGGCACCAGAUACCCAGGGGACUAUAGCUGGCUGUGAGGACUCUGAGGCCAGGUCAGCAUCCAUGGUCCCCAAUAGUGAGUAAGAGUCCAGUUAGCCCACACCCCUUCCCAUCUACCCAAAAUGUAACUUAGCCCUCGGCUUCUCCUUACCUUUCAGGAGUUCUCCCCUUACCCCCAAAGAAUUCCUGAGGUCCCCCUAGGCCGGUAAGUCUGUCUCUCCCCUAACCCAGCACCCUGCAGCCCCUGGUUCAGGUUGGUGGCAUCUGUGCCCAAGCCCCCACCAGCGUGAAAGCCCCUCAAAGGCCACACAGAUCUCCCACUUCUCUGCAUCUCCAGAUGUUGGUACAAGGCCUAGCACACAAGGAAUCCCAGAAAAUGUUGGCUGAAGGAAUAAAUGGAUGGAUCUGGGUU